AAGAACAAAAUGUCUUUAUGAGACUUUAUAUUUUAAACUUUUGAAGGUCAGAGAUGCUGAAAGAGAAACUCCAGUAAAAGAGGAGCGUAGAGAGCAGAGGUGAUGAAAUCCCCCGGCCUGUGGAUUAUUUGACCAAGAUGUCACCUGACAUCCCCUGGCAGAUCCUGAUGGGAGUCAUCACAGAGACGGCGUUGUGGCUUUCUGGAGACUUUCACUGACAUAUGCAAGGUCUUCAGGGACGUUUUCAGCAAGCCCAAAUUCAGAGAAAAGGUCCACUUUGUAUGGCUGGACAGUUUUGUGAACUGGGGUGCAUUUACCAGACAAUAUAGGCAAGAGUUCUGGGUGGCCUACUCGUUGACUCUGAAAUAUACAAGGACUGCCCCACUGGCUAUGCAGGUGAUGGCAGAAGGGGAAUCCUGCA